rnacentral:lncRNA from 1 species
UUUUUUUUUUUUUUUUUGGUCUUUUUAGGGCCACAUCUGUGGCAUAUGGAAGUUCCCAGGUUAGGGGUGGAAUCGGAGCUAUACUGAAUCACCAGAUCCAAGCUGUGUCUGCGACCCACACCACUGCUCACGUCAAUGCCAGGUUUUUAACCCACUGAGCGAGGUCAGGGAUCAAACCCACAUCCUCAUGGGUAUUAUCAGGUUUGUUACUGCUGAGCCAGAAUGGGAACUCCCAAAAUUCUAUUUCUUAAGCUGAAUAGUGAUGCCAGUGUGGUUCACCUUAUAAUAGCCCAUGAAGCUACAAUUUUUGCAUAGUUUUUUUUUGCGUAUGUGUUAUAUUUUAUAGGAAACGAAAGUUAAAAACAAUUAUAUACAUUUAAAAUAUCAUAAUUGAUAUAGGUGGUUGUAAGGAGAAUUUUCAGGGGCUGAAAGAAAAACUUUCCCUAGUGUGGCAGAGACAGACAAGCAAGGAGAUAAAAGAAGCAUCCCAGACAGAGGAGAUGGCAGGAGCAAAGGCCCUGAGGUGGAAGGGGCAUUGAUAAACACAGUACCUGCCAUAGAACCUGGAGGUGAAGGGUAUAGCUUUCAGCAAAUGCUUAUUACACUGAGAUUCAUAUACUAGGUACAUACAUUUCCAUUGCUGCUCUACCAGUUCGCCACAAACUUAGUCACUGAAAACAACAGAAAACUAUAUUAUGGUUCUACAGGUUAGAAGUUCAACCCAGGUCCCAUGGGUUAAAAUUUAGGGUUACGUUCCUUCCAGAUGCUCUAGGGUACAAUCCAUUUCCUUGUCCUUCCUGGCUUCUAGAGGCCCCUACAUUCCUUGGCCUGGGACCCUCUUCUUCUGACUUCAAAGCCAACAGAGGAGGCCCGAGUCCUUCUUACAUGGCACCAAAGAGGACCUUCUCCUGGGCCUCUCUCUUCCACAAGGGAGGAUGCUAAUGAUUACAUUGGACCAGAUAAUCCAGGAUAAUCUUCCCGGUUUAAGGUCAGCUGAUUAGCAAACAUAAUUCCACCUGGAACUGCAAGUCCCCUUUUCCUAUAAAAUACAACUCAUUCACAGAUUCUAGGGAUCAGAAUUUGGACAUUUUGGGGAGCUCUUAUUCUGUUUACCACACUGAGCAAGUGUUUACUGAGAAACUAUGAGUGCCAAACUCUGUCUGGGUACUAGGAUGUAGAACAGGAUGGAUGGAUAAGGUCCUUGCUUAGAAAGCUUGCAACUAAAGAGAGGGAAGACAGCAUCUAAAGAGGUGAACACAUGUACAGAUAGUCCCGACUGGCUCGAAAUCAAAACGAGAAGAAGAGGGAUAAAACCAGUCCUGCCACGGGCUUCAAAGAUACUAUAUGUGAACUUUCUCUUCCCAACAAGUGGAAAUAAUCUCAACAAGUGGAAAUAAAGCCCAGUGUCUCCAUUUAUCUGAUCCACAGCAUUACUCUGUUUCCAGCUGGUUUUUUAUAUUUAAAAAAAAAAAACCUAAAAAUUGACUUCAGUUAUUUUUUUUAAAGUCUCCGUGUGCUUAUCUCUGGAAUCCAAUGUGGACUGAUUUUUUUUUUUAAAUAUAUUCUAAAGCAUUCCUAAUAGAAAACUUUUCUGGUCUGGUUUCCAAUGGAAAUUUAUUAUUUGAGGGCAGGCUUUUAAACAUGUCACUCUUUGCCAGCAUGCCUCAGGGUACAAGUACAAUAAAUAAAGGGUAUAUUGAAAGAGAAUAUUUCAAAUAACUAGCAGCAUCAUUAAAACAUCAAAUUAAAUGAACUGAAAACAAACAGAUUCUAGUUUCCUUGUAUAAUCAAAUAUUCUUCAUUAAGGGAUCUCAAGUGGAUUGUAAUACCAACUAUGCCAGCUGUAGCUUCCCAGUUAAAUACUCAUCUUACUGGGGGGAAAAAAAAGAAAAGAAGAAAAAUAGUGGAGGAAAGAGGUGAAAAAUACCUCAGCCCCAGCUGACACCUCAAAUUUACCAUAGUCUGUCCAAGGUUUUAUAAGAUCUCUAAAGGUAAAGAUGGGUCUUCAAUUCAAAUCCUAAAUCAGGAAUUGUGUGAUGAGAACAGUCCACAACCAUCAAUAUUUUCCAAGCUCUUUUUAAGAAGAGAAAUGCCAGAGUUCCUGCUGUGUUGCAGUAAGUUAAGAAUCCCACUGCAGCAACUCAGUGGUUGCAGAGGCAUGGGUUCCAUCCCUGGCCUGGUGCAGUGGGUUAAAGGAUACGGCAUUGAUGCAGCUGUAGCUCAGAUUCAGUUGCUGGCCCGGGAACCUCCACAUGCCUCAGGUAUGGCCAUAAAAUUUAAAAAAAAAGAAAAAAAAGGAAGGAAGGAAGAGAAAUGCUUCCCCACUCAGUAUCUUCAGAGACUCACCAAGCAGCCUAAGGUCUCAGUGGUAGCCUUGGCAUUUCGGGUGGGGCAGUUGACCUAUGCAUGCCACAACCUUUAGCAUUCCUGUCCCCUCUCCCUACGUACACACACACACACACACACACACACACACUAAACACCAGGCACUGGGCAAGCAAAAAGGACUCCAAAUUCUCUGCUGGGGUGGGAGGUACUACCCCACUCCCAACAAAAGGCCUUCCCAGCAUCCUCUACCCAUGGUGAGUUCUCCUUGCCCCCGUAGCACCGUAGCAUGCACUGCUCAUGAGAAAUGGCACGUAAGCACGACUGCAGACUGCCAGCUUGGUGUAGACACACCUGGAUGCCUGUGGUUGGAUGCCCAUCAAGCUCUGUGAUGACACUCCCAGCCCAGACCUGAGGAUAGGGUGGGAUGUCAGCCAAUGGCCCAAAGGGACCUGGGGAGCAAGGCCCUAAGAGCACAGGCCAGGAGUCAAGGGACCAGAGUUUAAAAUACAGGCUCUGCCACUUCCUUCUGUGUGAGCUUAGGCGGUUGCUUUACCCCGAUGCCUCAAUUUAUCCAUCUAAAAGUAAAGUAAAAUCUCCAUUUAUAGCUCCUAGGCCAUUAGAAAACUAAAUGAAAUAAUAUAUGUAAAGCACUUAGCAAUAUGCCUGGCACUUAGCAAGUGCUCACUAAAGACUGAUUAUCAUUGUUUUCAUUGCCAGUGAUGAAAAUGAAAUGGUGCUUCAAAAGUGACAAAUUAGGUGAGUUCCUGUUUAUUCCCUAUGCAGUAGGUACUCGAUAUGCUUCUUUUUUUCCCCUUGGUCUUCCUUUCUUCCUAGCAAGGAAAUCAUUCCUAAGCCCCUAUUCACUUCUUCUUGUAAUUUACUGGAAUUCUGUUCCCAUGCUGAUGGAACAUGAAACAAAAAGGAUCACAUAGCAUUGGCCCAGGAAAAGCAGCAUACAAAGGUGGCAGCAGUGCCUGGAGGCGUGAUCCACAGACACUAGGUUCUCUGUGGUCCCCUGAAUCUCUAUUAAUGGCAUCACCAUCCAUCGUUUUGCAUAAGCCUAAAGCCUGAGAAUCAUUCUUGGUUUUUCUCUUGUCCCCUCUCCCAUCCACACACUCCAAAUCUCAUCCAUAAACAAACACUACCUCCCAAAUGUGUCUUGAGUCUAUCAUUUCUCUCCCACUCCACAGCCACUAUUUGGUCCAAACCACCAUCAUUUCCAACCUUAAAUUUUGCAGUAGUUUCUUUUUCAAAAAAAAAAAAAUUAAAGUAUGGUUGGCUUACAAUGUUGUGCUAAUUUCUGCUGCACAGCAAAGUGACUAUCUUUUUCUAUUACAGUUUAUCCCAGGAGAUCUGGUAAGAGAUGUAAGUCAGAAAGAGAAAGACAAAUGCCAUAUGAUAUCAUUUAUAUGCAGAAUCUAAAAUAAGGCACAAAUGAAUCUAUCUAUAAAACAGAAACAAACAGACAGAGAGAACAGACUUGUGAGCACGAUAUUUCUCUUGAUUAAUCCACACAGCUCAUUCUCCCAUAAGGCAACCACAAUAAUCCUUUAAAAAUCAGAUCAGGGAGUUCUCGUCAUGGCUCAGUGGUUAACGAAUCUGACUGGGAACCAUGAGGUUGCGGGUUCAAUCCCUGGCCUUGCUCAGUGGGUUAAGGAUCUGGCGUUGCCAUGAGCUGAGGUGUAGGUCACAGACACAGCUCGGAUCCCACGUUGCUAUGGCUCUGGUGUAGGCCGGCAACUACCGCUCCAAUUUGACCCCUAGCCUGGGAACAUCCAUAUGCCGCGAGAGCGGCCCAAGAAAUGGUAAAAAGACCAGAGGGGGGAGAAAAAAUCAGAUCAGGCCCUUCAUUCUCCCAUUGAGAAAUCUUGCAGUGCCUCGUCAUUGUCCUUAGAAUAAAAUCCCAACCUUGGAGUUCCUGUUGUGGCUCAGUGGGUUAAGAACCUGACAUCGUGUUCCUGAGGAGGCAGGUUUGAUCCGUGGCCUUGCUCAUGAGUUAAGGAUGUGGUGUUGCCACGAGGUACAAUGUAGGUCACAGAUGAAGCUCAGAUCUGGUGUGGCUGUGGCUGUGGUUGCAGUUCUGGUUCGACUCCUGACCCAGGAACUUCCAUGUGCUGUGGGUGCAGCCGUAAAAAGGAAAGAAAGGUCCCAGUCUAGCUCCCAUGUGCCUCUCUGACCUUGUCCUUAGAUACAGUGUCCCCCUAUGCUUACUUGCUCCAGACACACUGUUCUUCUCUUCAAUCCACAAAGGCUCUGCUGUUCUCUCUGCCUGGAACUCUCUGCACCCAGACUGUUGCAUGUCUGCCCCCUUUGUAUCACCUGGGUCUCAACUUGAAUGUUGCCUCCUGAGAAUGGCUUGUUCUCUACUGUCUUCACAGCAUCCAGAAGGAUGCUUGGCACGUGGUAAGCACUCCAUGGAUGUUUACAGAAGAAUGAAUGAAUGAGCAGCCAAAACACCCAGGGACAAUUUUUUACCGGCUGACAACCACCAUACCCUAAGUGAAGGGAGCAAAGAUCAUUCUUUCUAUGGAGGCUUUCCAUGCACUUUAGGGAGAGAUAAAUCCAUCCCCUCAAAACACCCAGCCAACGAUGCCAGAGAAAAGCAGAAAGCAUGACUCCUCAGAGAAACAAUGAGCCAGAGGCAUUCUUCUUCAAGCAGAUGAGGAGCCAUGCCAAAUGCCUUCAAUUGCUUUUCAAGUUAAGCAACCACACCAAUGACAACAGCCAAAGAAAAUGCUACAGCCCAUACCAAAAGAGGAUCUGCAGCUUGGGCUGACCUUUCAACACAAAUUGGAUUACUCUGUCCUUCCUGGAAAUGCAUGGUCUGGUCACAUAAUGGGACACUAUUCGAUUAGCACGGUUCCUGGUUGCUCUGAAACCUAUAGGAGAAGUGGUGACGUUUAGAGGGAGCCUCAUGACACAAUGGAAUCUGGCUCCUGCUCCCCAAACUCCCCCUAAGCUCAUCUGGCCCAGAAAAACAACUUAAGGACAUUCUUGAUCACUGGACAGAAAUACUUCUCUCUUGGUCAACGUGUUAACCCCUCUGGGAGGGAUUUUCCUGGGAGGUUUAUGUGAGAUCAGAGUGUUUCUCACUGAAUGUAUGUAAUCAACAUUCAAUCAGUGAAUUAUUUUAAUCAUAUUUUUAACAAAUGGCAUCCCUAUAGAGGUAAUAAUUGCAGACCUGGAAGACCAUUAGAUAUGUGGGAAGAAGAAAUGGCAGAGAAGGAGGUGGAGGAUGCGUGGGGAAGUGGACAGAAGGCAGCAGAGGACUCAAAAGAGAAAGCAAAAGCAGAGUGGGGUCCCUUAAAGACUUGACCCACGGCCCCAGCAGAUCAUUGUCGUCCUAAGGUCCCUCCACCUCUUCGAGCACUAGACCAUCAGCUCUUCAAAAGCCAAACAAUACCUAAUUCACUGCUCUAUCUUUUCUUAUGCAGGGAUGAGCUCUGAACCUCUUGAAUGAAACAGAAAUCUGAAUGAAAUCUGAAUGAAACAGAACAGAGAUAAGAAUUUAGCAUUUUAUGGGAAUUUUGGAUUGCCAGAGCUCAGUUAA